GACGAACGCUGGCGGCGUGCUUAACACAUGCAAGUCGAGCGGUAAGGCCCUUUGGGGUACACGAGCGGCGAACGGGUGAGUAACACGUGAGUAAUCUGCCUUUGGCUUGGGAAUAACUUCGGGAAAUCGGGGCUAAUGCCUGAUGUUUACUGUCUGCUGCAUGGUGGGUGUGGAAAGAUUUUUUGGCCAGGAUGAGCUCGCGGUCUAUCAGCUUGUUGGUGGGGUAAUGGCGUACCUAAGGCUUUGACGGGUAGCCGGCCUGAGAGGGUGUUCGGCCACACUGGGACUGAGACACGGCCCAGACUCCUACGGGAGGCAGCAGUGGGGAAUAUUGCGCAAUGGGCGUAAGCCUGACGCAGCGACGCCGC
rnacentral:rRNA from 1 species